AUGGCCUGGCCUAGAUCAACUAUUUUCAUUUCUGGGAAACUGCCCCUUUCCAAACAGCUUCCUGUCCAAGAGUAUCAAAUGACGUUGUGUGAGCAAUGUUUGAGGUGAAGAAAAGCAUCUGGGAGGCAUCUCAAGCCAUGUGCAACCAGUUAGAAGCUUCUGUCUGGCCUCUUCACAUACUGAAGGCACUCAAAUCUCAGAGGAUGAUCACAGACUCACAGGUCACGCUCUUGUCUACAUUUUUAGCAGUUUAUAAUAAAAAAUAUCUUCCUGUUCUAUUCUUUCCCUCUUCUAGCAGGAAGCUGUCAGUAAUAUGUAAUAUAGUUUGGUUUUGGGAUCUGCCAUUUUUUGACCAAAGAGCGAAUAAAAGAAUAUGAGUGGUGAGGAUGAGAGGAAUCUCACCACAGCUAAAUGAAAUAAUACGCUUCACAUGCAGAAAUCCAUUCAUGAUGGCUUUAAUUCUUGUCCAGGGUGAAGUGGUUGAAUAUCAGAACAUUUUGCUAGAUUUUCUUUUUUGAAAUGAUGGUAACUCUGACAAACAAAUGACUUUCUUUCUCAGUCAGAUAUGCCCCUAGUUAUUGUAAAUGAGUUGGGGAUAACAUUUGGAUAUGCCUGUGGAUCCUGCAUGAGAUGUUACAAAAUACUGAUAUUAUAGGGAGUUAGUAAGGGAGAUUUCUGUUAGGCUUCUUUGUGCCUUAGCUCUUUUCCUGGGUUGUGUGUGUGUAUAAAGAGCAGGGUGCUGUGAACACAGGGAGUCAUCUAAGUCCUAGGAACAGCAGGACAAAUUCUUUGUGGCCUCUACGUAUAACUAAGUUGUGCUGCAGAAACUCUCCUCUUGCCCUCAAAGCUGUGUUGCCGUAAUUAUCAUUUUAUCCAGUUUUCUGGAGAGUUGUCCACUGUGAUGGAGAAUUAGGAUGACCUAUCUCCCACACUGCAUUGUCUGAAAUGGAGAUAAUGUAGGCAGCAGGGAGUGUGCUUGGAGUGUGCUUAGCAUCCUGGUCUCAGGAGGAAAAUUGUUGGGGUAAUAUAUUGUGUCUGAAUGUUUAGUUUUAACUUUAAAAAAUAAUUUUGCAGAGCCUGAUUUUCUAGUAUAUAAUGUUUUGGAUUUGUUUACAAAUGCUUUUCCUUUCCUUUCCUUUCCUUUCCUUUCCUUUCCUUUCCUUUCCUUUCCUUUCCUUUCCUUUCCU
rnacentral:lncRNA from 1 species